rnacentral:rRNA from 1 species
AUUGAACGCUGGCGGCAUGCCUAACACAUGCAAGUCGAACGGUAACGCGGAGAGCUUGCUCUCUGGCGACGAGUGGCGGACGGGUGAGUAAUACUUAGGAAUCUACCCAGUAGUGGGGGACAACAUUCGGAAACGGAUGCUAAUACCGCAUACGCACUACGGUGGAAAGUGGGGGACCUUCGGGCCUCACGCUAUUGGAUGAGCCUAAGUCGGAUUAGCUUGUUGGUGAGGUAAUGGCUCACCAAGGCGACGAUCCGUAGCUGGUCUGAGAGGACGAUCAGCCACACUGGGACUGAGACACGGCCCAGACUCCUACGGGAGGCAGCAGUGGGGAAUAUUGGACAAUGGGCGCAAGCCUGAUCCAGCAAUGCCGCGUGUGUGAAGAAGGCCUGCGGGUUGUAAAGCACUUUCAGUAGAGAAGAAAAGCCUAGGGUUAAUAACCCUGAGUCUUGACGUAACCUACAGAAGAAGCACCGGCUAACUCCGUG